CCUACGGGUGGCAGCAGUAGGGAAUCUUCCACAAUGGGCGAAAGCCUGAACGAGCCACGCCGCGUGCGUGAAGAAGGUCCUAUGAUCGUUAAACCCUGUUGUUAGAGAAGAAAGUGCGUGAGAGUAACUGUUCCCGUUUCGACGGUACCUAACCAGAACGCCACAGCUAACUACGUGCCACCAGCCGCGGUAAUACGUAGGUGGCAAGCGUUGUCCGGUUUUGUUGGGCGUAAAGGGAACGCAGGCGGUCUGUUAAGUCUGAUGUGAAAGCCUUCGGCUUAACCGGAGUAGUGCAUUGGAUACUGGUAGACUUGAGUGCAGAAGAGGAGAGUGGAACUCAAGGUGUAGCGGUGAAAUGCGUAGAUAUA
rnacentral:rRNA from 1 species